ensembl:lncRNA
GUUUGUAUCCCUGAGAGGUGGGAAGCACAGUGGGUUUGUAUCCCUGAGAGGUGGGAAGCACAGUGGGUUUGUAUCCCUGAGAGGUGGGAAGCAUGGUCAGCAGGGAUUCCAUGGUCUAAUCCCCCUCUGGCGGUCCCCUCUGGCGGUCCCCUCUGGCGGUCCCCUCUGGCGGUCCCCUCUGGCGGUCCCCUCUGGCGGAUUGGGAAUCUAAAAAGUUGACUGAGGUUUUCUGAACCUUAGAAAUGUGUGUGAGUGUGUGAGUGUGUGAGUGUGUGAGUGUGUGUGUGUGUGUGUGUGUGUGUGUGUGGAGCAGGCUAUAGUCAGUUUGGUUCCAGGGGCAUGUUCAUGAGGCCUACUGCUGUAGGAAAGAAACUGUUCUUGGGGUGAGAGGUUUUGGUCCUGACAGACCUCUGCCAGAGGGGAGGGUUCUGGAUAGUCCAUCUACAGGAUGAGGGAUCAGCCCCAAUCAUUGCAGCUCGCCUCUGUGUCCUGGAGGUGUGUAGGUCUUGUAGACACCGCAGAUUGCAGCCAAUCAUCCUCUCUGCAGAUCCUGCAAUGCAGCCUGGCCUUGUCUUUGGCUGUGGCUGCAGUGUACCAGGCAGUGAUGGAGGAGGUCAGGAUGGACCCGGAUGAUGGCAGUGUAGAAAUGCCCACAUCAUCGUCUUUGGCAGGUUGAACUCUUUCAGCUGCCGCAGGAAGUACAUCCUCUGCUGAGCUUUCAUUGUAAGUGAGGUGAUGUUCAGCUCCCACCUGAGGUCCUGGGUGAUGGUGGUGCCCAGAAAGCGAAAGGACUCCACAGAGUUGACUGGGGAACCACCCAGGGUGAUGGGUGAAGGGCAGCUGGGCUUCUCCUGAAGUCCACCAUCAUCUCCACGGUCUUUAGGGUGUUGAGCUCCAAGAUGUUCUGACUGCACAAGGACACCAGAUGAUCAAUCUCCCACCUGUAGGUGGCAGAGUUUAUGCUAGACGUUUUUUGACGGUCAUAAAUUCCUAGAAUUCUGGCCAUAUAGAACAGCUACCAGACAUAUGUUUUAAAUAGCCAAAUAAUAGACAACAUUUAAACAGCAAUAAAACACAAACGCUAUGAUCCAACAAAUAAAUGAACUCUUCACAAUCUUUGCAAACUGAGCAUUUAAGUUACAACUAGGGCUGUUGCAUUUAUUACAUAAUUGCCUGAUUGAAAUGAUUUGAGCCAGAUCCUUAUUAUUUUUAUAAACAACAAUCUUUUUGCACAAUAUUUUGAUUCCAAAAUAAUGUUUCCAAUCUAAACAAGGGAUUUUGAGGCCAGUGUUAGAAAUAUCUCAACAAAUUCCAUGCAAAUUAGGUCAGUUUCCAUAGGAUGUCGGCGUGUUUGACAGCACUGCUGAAAGUUAAAGGUGCAGAUCAUUUACGGAAACUCGUUUGCUUAAAAAUUUCUGUAUGUUUAAGUCUAGUUUAGAACUGUUUUGCAAUGGCUUGAUCACCUUGGGCAGAAAGGCCGGGUUAGGGAGAAACACACCCCUGCUGCCAUCGCCGUUGAUUGCGUGACAGCCAGGCUGCGUCGACAGCGCACAAAGGUCACUGACCCUCUUAGCAGAGGUCAGAGCCAACAAAAGUGCCUUCUUAAGGGACAGCAUCCUCAACGAUAUCUGAUCAAUAGGUUCAAACGGCACGUCGCACAGUGCCUCCAGAACCAAAGCCAAAUCCCACUGUGACAACGUCCGCCGAGCCACCGGCCAGAGACGACGGGACCCGGCCAGAAACCGUUUCACCAAGGGAUGACUGAAUACAGACACUCCACUGAACCCUUCUAAAUACAGACACUCCACUGAACCCUUCUAAAUACAGACACUCCACUGAACCCUUCUAAAUACAGACACUCCACUGAACCCUUCGUGACACACUGAGAUCACACACGCGUACACCUUGAGCGUGCCGGGGGAUCUUUGCUGAUCAAACAGACGCUGCAGGAACGACAGGACACUGCCCACGUCACAACACAGGGGGUCAACCACCACGUCAUCACACCAGUGGGCAAAGAUCCCCCAACGGCUAGCAUAGGGUUAGGGUUAGCAUAGCCAGCCGACGUGGAGGCCGUUCGCCUGUGUCAGUGCCCCGUCCGUGGCGGUAAGGGCUUGGCCAUGGCGUCCCCACCGCCUUCUGAGCCGCCUCUGCAAACCACCGGGCACCCUGGUGAAAAGGAGCGAUCAGGAUGAGCAACAGCCUCUCCGUCCGCACCACAGAGGGGCAGUGUGCAUCCUCCUGGGUUUGGAAACACAUCCACCUGCGCCUUCCCAAAACGUCUCCAGACCUCAACUACAAUGUCGGGAUGAAGAUGCCACUAGUCAUCCCGGGGACCUUCCUGAGACAGCAACUCGGCCCCCACAUUGAGCUCUCCGGGAAUGUGAAGAGCCCUCAGAGACCUGAGGUGCACCUGCGCUUGAGGAUGGCCGCCGAAGCCCUUGCCACCUCACUCACCUCCACUGGAGACAGCGAGGUGUGACCCUCGGUUAUCCCGGCCACGGCCGCCGCCAGGAGGCCCACGUUGUUGCAGACCGCCAGGGACUGCGCCAGGGACCGCCAGGGACUGCGCCAGGGACCGCCAGGGACUGCGCCAGGGACCGCCAGGGUCUGCACCAGGGACCGCCAGGGACUGCACCAGGGACCGACAGGGCCUGCACCAGGGACCGACAGGGCGUAUUGCUUUUCCACCAGGUGCCAUCGCAAGCAUGCAGCAGUGUGCACGUCGACUGCCGCGUCGAGCUCGCUACACCGGCAUGCAGACAGGGAAGUCGGCGGGCGGGGCGCCGGGCUAGCAGGGACCGCUCCAGUGGUCGAAGAUGGUGAAGCCAUCCUUGGCUUAAUAGAAAUCAUGGUAGACUCCAUACUUAAACCUUUCUCGUGAAGAAAAAACAGAGACUGAGCAGAGUGUGAGAACCUCUUUUAUAGCCAUGGGGCAGAUGUCCAUGAGAGGUGUGAUUUUUCAGUGAUUGCGUAUUGGCAGAGGGGUAAACCAAUAGGCGCGAAGCCCCUAUGGGCAAAGCUUCACAAAGUAGAACUGUUGAAAAGCCAGUCAGGGGGUCAGACAAGUACUUCCCCAGGCUCACGUGCUGCCUACCUGUUGGACAGGAAGACUGUGAUCCACCUGCAUGUGGACUUGGGCGCUCCCAGUUGGGAGUGCUUGUCUUGGAGCAAGGCGUCAAUUAUGGUGUUGAAUGCGGAACUGAAGCCCACAAACAGGAUUCUGGCAUAGGUUGCAGGGGAGUCCAGGUGCUGGAGGACGUGAAGUGCCAUGUUGACCACAUUGUCCACAGACCUGUUGGCUCUGUAGGCAAACUGUAGAGGGUCGGUGAUUGUCUGGAGAUGGGACAGUACAAGGUGCUCAAAUUACUUCAAAACCACAGAGGACAGGGUGACGGGUCUGUAGUCAUUAAGUCCGGUGGUCCUUGGCUUCUUGGGGACUGAGAUGAUGAUGGAGGACUUGAAAAAGCCCAGGAUGCAGUGAGGUGUUGAAGAUGUCCGUAAACACAGCAGGACGCUGAUCUGCUCAGUGCUUUAGGGUGGAAGGAGACACUGUCAGACCUGCUGCUUUGUGAGGGUUCUGUGUCUUGAAUAGUCUGUUAACGUACAAUGGAUUUAAAGUAAAAUUGUAGUGGCAGAGGUGGGGAUGAUUGGGAUGGGUGAAUGUGAAUGGGCCCCGAUGAUUGGGAUGGGUGAAUGUGAAUGGGUCCCAAUGGUGGGGAUGAUUGGGAUGAGUGUAACUGUAAUAAAGUGUUAUUGUGGUGCAGUGGUUGUUUUUAUUAAUUAGAUCUAGCUUUUAAGAAUGGCCCAUUGCACUCGAAAGAAAAUGUUGGUGGAGAUGGCUUUGAAACGCAGACGCCAAGAUCAAGUUUCUUGUGGGGAUAUGCCUUGCAAAAUGCAGCCAAAUGCAGCCAAAAUACUCCUUGCAAAAGAACUAGAAAAGAAAAAGUGGACAAUUCUGGACAAUUAUAAGGAUAUAAGUUCUCCUGAUAAUGUGCUGUUUUACGGAACAAAUUAUCUCCUCCUUACCAGCACACCUGACUCCACCCGUCUUCCAGUCACACCUGACUCCACCCGUCUUCCAGUCACACCUGACUCCACCCGUCUUCCAGUCACACCUGACUCCACAUUUGCUCCAGUCACACCAGACUCCACCCUUCCUCCAGUCACACCAGACUC